rnacentral:lncRNA from 1 species
UGAUUCUUAUAAAAAACAAAUUUAUUGUGUAUUAGCUGAGGUUUUCCAGUUACUUGAGGUGUCCUGAAGGAAGCAUAGCCUGUGCCAAAUUCCAACCCUCAUCCCUUUUUUUUUUAAGCUGUUCAGAAACUUCUCUAGUUUAAUAAAAACAGUGUAAUUUAUCACACCUCCUCCACAAGCACCUUCCUUAUGUGAAUUAAAGGAACCCAUGAACAGAUGGGAAAUCAGAGGAGCCAGAAGGUCUCAUGGAGCAAUCCUGGAUGUUCCUUCCCCUGGGAGGUGGGUGCAGCUCAGGGAACUUCCUUCUAAACUGAGGAAGUGGGAAGCAUGAAGUGCUAAUUUUGCAGAGGGAAUGACACUGGGUUUUCAUGGCAUCCUGGAAUGGUCUGGGUUGGAAAGGACCUUAAAGACCAGGGGCAGGGACAUCUUCUUUAAAGCCCCAUCCAAACACUUGAGGAUGGAUGCCCUGGCCUCAAACACUUCCAGAGAUGGGGAAUUAAAUUCCCCACAACUUUUCCAAGGACAAAUACCUUUUUUGCCUCCUCAAGCCUCUCCCCCAGCCCCACAAUGAACCUCCGGCUUUAUCUCGGCUGGACAAAGAGCCGAAAAUCCAAAUGCUGGAUUUGGGGUGCAAAGCUGAGAAACCUGGAGGUGUCCUAAAUCGUCUUGCUGUCCCGAUGGAUCCAUGGGGUUUAUCCCGCAUUCCGAGGGUGAUGCUGCCUUGUGGCCGGGCAAGCUGGAAGGUGACGAUUCAUUUCACCGCGAAUAAGAUGAAAAAUGACGAGUAACACGAAACCGAGCAUCUCUAGCAACUCCCUGCCGGGACCUCGGCGUCGGGAUGCUCCCGGUUUCCGCCGGAUGCGGGAAAAGCACCAUUCCCAGCGUUUGGCGAGGGAGGCGAGCUCGUGGGCGGGGGUGGGCGCGGGAGGCUCUGGCGAGGAGCUCUGGGGCUUCCUGUUUCCUUCCGCAGCUCGAGCAGAAUUUGAAAGCAGCGGCUGCCGUGAGCUGGACCAAUGAUCGGGGCACAGCGCGCCCGGGCCGCCCGCGCCCGUUACGGCCCCGGGGCUGCGCUUCCCGGCUCCCCCUGGGAACACCGGGAACCCCCGGCCCGGGGGCGGCCCGGACCCACCACCCACGGGAAUCAGCAGAAGCAUGGCUGUCCCGCUGGGAUUAA